CAUGUAGGCGGUUGUUUAAGUCUGAUGUGAAAGCCCUGGGCUCAACCCAGGAAGUGCAUUGGAUACUGGGCAACUUGAGUACGGGAGAGGAAAGUGGAAUUUCGAGUGUAGGGGUGAAAUCCGUAGAUAUUCGAAGGAACACCAGUGGCGAAGGCGGCUUUCUGGACUGAUACUGACGCUGAGAUGCGAAAGCGUGGGGAGCAAACA
rnacentral:rRNA from 1 species